rnacentral:lncRNA from 1 species
CGCUGACUUUGCCAGGGCACGCGGGAAGGCUUUCCCUCUUGUCCCUCUACAGCUUUCUACGGCUGUCUUCCAAGUGCACGUGAUCGUACCGACUCUCUGGUCACGGCAAGCUCUGAAUAAAUAGUUUCUGUCCGCUCUUAUUUGGGUUUGGUCUCUUUAUUUCCACAGCAGAAAUGAAAGCAAAGGGGUCCCUGGAAGUCACACCAAGUUCAAAGUCGAUGAGAAGAACUCAGUCCUUAUUUAGGCAAUGGUUUUGAGAGAAAGGUUGAAGUCAUUGCAAGAUCAUGAGGAAGUGAAAGACCUUACCACUCUUUCUGCGUGUGAAGUUCCCCAGCAGGCAUGUUUUCAGACUCAGAACUCUCUCCCAAGAUGCACAGAUGCAGAAGGUCCGUGGACACAGGCACCUGCAUUUUCACGAUGUAGCCUAGGCCAUUCCCAUGCAAGUGGUUUGCAGACACUGGGAGAAACAAGUCUCUACACCAACAUACCGCCUCUGCAGUCACAUGGCCUGAAAUGUCCAGUCUCCAGACAGCAGUUGAGAAUUAUUAUCUGCGAGUAAAAUUUUCCUUUCCCAACCUUAUUGAAUCACUGGCAAAUAGCCUGCUCUGAGGCCAUUUAAACUCUACCAGAAAAGCUUUCAAUGAUAGUUACAACUUCUGAAGACUGUAACUAAAAUGAUUUUCCUUUGACCAGCAAAUGAUCCUCAGAACCUAAACACUGUUCCCAGGAAGAAGACAAAGCCAGAAAAUUCUCUUUGCAGCGGCCGUGGUGGAAACGAAAGACCAACACCACCAGCACCACAACAAAAAGAAAACAUUUGGGGAUGCUUUGCAGUAAACGGGAAUUUUCUGAGUACGUUUUGGUAAUGAAGGAAAACACCUUACCUUUUCUCUAAUUAACGUUAAUUGUAACGUUACGUUGACAUAGAGACAGAAAUAUCUCAGAGAAAUCAAGAAUACAGGAAAACCUUGGAUGGUGAGGAACCUGUCCUGUGAGUGUUCCUCAAGAUGAGCAAACAUUUCUAAUAAAUUUUAACUUGAUAAACGAGCUGUCUUGCA